rnacentral:rRNA from 1 species
GCUUGCUGCAUGCUUUAUACAUGCAAGUCGAACGAAGGCCCUAGCUUGCUAGGUGUCCUUAGUGGCGCACGGGUGAGUAACACGUGGGAACAUACCUUAUAGUACGGAAUAACUGCGGGAAACUGUAGCUAAUACCGUAUAUUCCAGUAAUGGGAAAGAUUUAUCGCUAUAAGAUUGGCCCGCGCAAGAUUAGCUUGUUGGUGAGGUAAAAGCUCACCAAGGCUUCGAUCUUUAGCUGGUUUGAGAGGAUGAUCAGCCACACUGGGACUGAGACACGGCCCAGACUCCUACGGGAGGCAGCAGUAGGGAAUAUUGGACAAUGGGGGCAACCCUGAUCCAGCAAUGCAGCGUGAGUGACGAAGGCCUUAGGGUUGUAAAACUCUUUCAUCGGUGAGGAUAAUGACAGUAGCCGAAGAAGAAGGACCGGCUAAUUCCGUGCCAGCAGCCGCGGUAAUACGGAAGGUCCUAGCGUUGUUCGGAAUUACUGGGCGUAAAGCGCAUGUAGGCGGAACAGAAAGUUAGAAGUGAAAUCCCUGGGCUCAACCUAGGAAUUGCUUUUAAAACUUCUGUUCUGGAAUUCAGGAGAGGAAAAUGGAAUUUCCAGUGUAGAGGUGAAAUUCGUAGAUAUUGGAAGGAACACCAGUGGCGAAGGCGAUUUUCUGGACUGAUAUUGACGCUGAGAUGCGAAGGCAUGGGUAGCAAACGGGAUUAGAUACCCCGGUAGUCCAUGCAGUAAACGAUGGGUGCUAGUCGUCGGACUUUUGUUCGGUGUCGUAGCUAACGCGUUAAGCACCCCGCCUGGGGAGUACGGUCG